rnacentral:rRNA from 1 species
GUACACUCCUACGGGAGGCAGCAGUGGGGAAUUUUGGACAAUGGGCGAAAGCCUGAUCCAGCAAUGCCGCGUGAGUGAAGAAGGCCUUCGGGUUGUAAAGCUCUUUUGUCAGGGAAGAAACGGUGAAAGCUAAUAUCUUUUGCUAAUGACGGUACCUGAAGAAUAAGCACCGGCUAACUACGUGCCAGCAGCCGCGGUAAUACGUAGGGUGCAAGCGUUAAUCGGAAUUACUGGGCGUAAAGCGUGCGCAGGCGGUUUUGUAAGUCUGAUGUGAAAUCCCCGGGCUCAACCUGGGAAUUGCAUUGGAGACUGCAAGGCUAGAAUCUGGCAGAGGGGGGUAGAAUUCCACGUGUAGCAGUGAAAUGCGUAGAUAUGUGGAGGAACACCGAUGGCGAAGGCAGCCCCCUGGGUCAAGAUUGACGCUCAUGCACGAAAGCGUGGGGAGCAAACAGGAUUAGAUACCCUAGUAGUCC